UACAGAGGGUGCAGGCGUUAAUCGGAAUUACUGGGCGUAAAGCGCACGUAGGCGGCUUGGUAAGUUGGGGGUGAAAUCCCGGGGCUCAACCUCGGAAUUGCCUUCAAGACUGCUUGGCUUGAGUUCGGAAGGGGUGAGUGGAAUUCCCAGUGUAGAGGUGAAAUUCGUAGAGAUUGGGAAGAACACCAGUGGCGAAGGCGGCUCACUGGUCCGAUACUGACGCUGAGGUGCGAAAGCGUGGGGAGCAAACAGG
rnacentral:rRNA from 1 species